AUACUUACCUGGCAGGGGUGACACCAUGAUCAAGCAGGUGGUUUGCCCAAGGUGAGGCUCUGUCAUUGCACUCUGACCGUGCUGACCCUUGUGAAUUCCCCAAAUGUGGGAAUCUCAACUGCAUAAUUUGUGGUAGUGGGGACUGCGUUCGCGCUCUCCCCU
rnacentral:snRNA from 1 species